rnacentral:lncRNA from 1 species
GCUCUCUGAGAAGGACCUUCUCUGUCUCAUUCGCUGUGGGACCCUCAGAGCCUAGAACACUCACUGGCACUUAUCUCUCUAUGCUUGUGGACAAGGAUCCCAUCUUAGACAACUUCUUCAGUCUGAUGCCCAGCACAUUCACUGCAGGCCCCCUGAGGAACAGAAAUGGAACUGCUUUGGACUUCAGAGGAGCAGACCUAGCCAGAGACGCUACCCAAAGACCUCACAAUAAAUUGUGUUUGUGAAGAAAUACUGGCUGCUGAAGUAAAAUGUGAUUACUGAUAUAGAGAACUACCUUAUAAGACUCUCCUACGUUGAUCUCCUAAAGAACAGAGAGGAGGCACUUAAAGGAAAGAGUAAGUAGUACUGAUUUGGCAACCUCAAUUUCAAUAU